rnacentral:rRNA from 1 species
GACGAACGCUGGCGGCGUGCUUAACACAUGCAAGUCGAACGGAAAGGCCCUGCUUUUGUGGGGUGCUCGAGUGGCGAACGGGUGAGUAACACGUGAGUAACCUGCCCUUGACUUUGGGAUAACUUCAGGAAACUGGGGCUAAUACCGGAUAGGAGCUCCUGCUGCAUGGUGGGGGUUGGAAAGUUUCGGCGGUUGGGGAUGGACUCGCGGCUUAUCAGCUUGUUGGUGGGGUAGUGGCUUACCAAGGCUUGGACGGGUAGCCGGCCUGAGGGGGUGACCGGCCACAUUGGGACUGCGGUACGGCCCAGACUCCUACGGGCGGCAGCGGUGGGGAGUCUUGCACAGUGGGCGGAAGCCUGAUGCGACGGCGCCGCGUGCGUGAUGACGGCCUUCGGGUUGUAAACCGCUUUCGCCUGUGACGAAGCGUGAGUGACGGUAAUGGGUAAAGAAGCACCGGCUAACUACGUG